GGGUAGGUAUGCAAGAUGGAUAAAGCAGACAGACUGUAAAUCUGUCACCUCGGUUUCGGGAGUUCGAAUCUCUCCCUACCCACCA
rnacentral:tRNA from 1 species